AAUGUCAAGACUGUCGGCUGGCCAUCUCAGAUUGGGCUGCAGCACUCACUGGCACAUGCAAAACCCAAGGCUGGGAGGCCUGAUAAGGGAUUUUUAGGGACUCCCUUGCUGGACCACUGCUUCCACUGGAGGCUGAGAAGUCCAGUAUCAAGGCAUGGGCAUCUGAUGGGGCCUCUCGCUGUUUCGUCUCAUGGUGGAAGGAGGAAAGAUAAAUGGCGAUGUGUGCUGUUUCCUGGAUAUGGCAGAAGAGACUUCCUGCCUGUGGCCUGGAAAGCAGUUGAGGAUGUCCCAAAACCUUGGGACCCUACACCCACAUGGGAGACCUGGAAGAGGCUCCUGGCUCUUGGCUUUGGAUCAGAUCAG